CACCAAAUCCUACCAGUAAAGAAAAGGGAAGCAAUAUCCCAGGAAAAAAAACAAAUGGAAAGAAAGUCAAGCAUCGACAACCAUGGCGGUUCCAAGAAGCUCUCACCAACAGAGCAAGUUGCGCUGGUGGACAGUGCUGUUGACAUGGCAGUAGAAGCUUUGCUUGACGAGAUUAGUCUCCAAGUUGCACUAGAAGAUGACCAGGACCUGCAGGUUGAUAUACAGGAAACUACAGAUAUGGGAAUGGUAGCAAUCUGUGAGCAAGAACAGGUGCUCAUGCCUGAUGCAGUGAUGCACAUGUGGUGCAAGCGAUAGCAAGAGGAGCAUGGGCUGUUUCCG
rnacentral:misc_RNA from 1 species